CUGGAAGCUUCUCUACCCUAACACGCCAGCUGAUGAGUGCUGUGAGAACUUGGGAAAACAGACCCUGCCUCCCAAGUUCACCAACCCUGCAAGCCUGAAGAUCAGCAUAAUAAAGUUGAUGGAGUUGCUUAAACAAAUUUCCCAGGGAGGAGGAGAGGAAGGAACACCUCAGCCUGUUCCCCUGUGACUCCCAGCCUUGCUCACUGAUCUCCAAAGCCAUGCUCUCCCUGGCCGUGCCCAGCCCAGCGUCGUUACCCAGUUCCCCGGGCUCUGGAUAUUACCAUCCAUCACAGCCGCUCUGGUUCCAGCGACUUGCUAAAUGUCUGAAUUUCCCUGCUGGCUCAAUGAAGGGUUUUCAGCUUGUGGUACAUUAUAUAGCUACCGGGUGAAUGGGACUGAGCGUUCCCGUUUGGCUCCGAGUGCCGUGUUCACCUGAGCUCGCUGGCAGGAUGAAUAGUUCACCGCGGUUCUAGUGCUAACCCCCUUUGUGAACUAGCAGUGAGCCAUGUACCUUAUUACAAAGGCUGACAGCUCCCUGGAAACUUAAAUCCACUCUUUCUCCUUUCCCUACCAUAGGGAGCUAUAAAAGAAAAGGACUUGGUUGGUAGGCAUGUAAUAUAACAAAAAAACCUCUGUUGUGGCAAGAUCCAGACUCCCCAGUAACAAUGAGGAUUAUGUUCUCGCAUCGAAAAUGCAGUUGCUAGUUUUAACUGCGGUACCUUAUUAUGGAUUCCUACAGUGUACAUUUAUGUCAGGGGCUCGGAUGUUUAACUUCAGUCGGGUCCGGGUAGAAAAGAGAGCUUGGCAUCUUCUGGAUUAUUUUUUUUUUUAAUACGGAGGGAAAAGAUGCAGCUUGACGCUGUUUUGAUGCUACCUUUCCCCAAACUACUUCUCAGAGAGCUUUAAAUAGCCUGACAUUGGCACUGGGCAGGAGCUGGCAGAAGAAUAGAUUUUUUUCAUCUGAUGGCUCGCCAAAGUUGUGUUCAAGAAGGAGAAGUAGAAGAAGAAGAAAAAAAAAAACCACCACCCCCCCCAAAC